UACAGAGGGUGCGAACGUUGUUCGGAAUCACUGGGCAUAAAGCGCACGUAGGCGGCACCGCAAGUGUGGGGUGAAAUCCCACGGCUUACCCGUGGAACUGCCUGGCAGACUGCGGUGCUAGAGGUUGGUAGGGGAGAGCGGAACUCUUGGUGGAGCGGUGAAAUGCGCAGAUAUCAGGAGGAACACCGGUGGCGAAGGCGGUUCUCUGGGCAUUACCUGACGCUGGAGGAGCGAAAGCGUGGGGAGCAAACAGG
rnacentral:rRNA from 1 species